rnacentral:lncRNA from 1 species
AACAUCAUGAUCGUAGUGUCUAAUUUAUCAAAGGGUAAUUACAUUCGUAAAUUGACCACAAAAGGGUGACAAGACACGAAUACAAGAGAGAGAGUAUAUAGCAAUACUGAGACAUAAAGUAAUCCUCCAGUCAUAGCCACAAAAGACUAAAUCACCUAUGCAGCAAGAAGUGACGAAUUUAGAUAAUUGGACCCACGACAUAAAGACUCACAAGGAGAUGCAGCAAACUCAU